UUGUCUUUGAGUUUCUGCAGAACUGUAGAGUGACAGUCGCUGAAGACGAAGCUGGUCGGGCUGCAGCAGCGACACACAGUGAUCCCGGUCAGACCGACACCGCUGCCAAGCUCCAGAACCGACCUGCAGAGGAGGAACGGAGUGAAGUCCUGCCGGUGCUCCAGAGCCCACUCGGCCAGGUACAGCGCCGCCUCCCAGGUCACCAGGCCGGUGGUUCCCUCUGAGAUCAGAGCCACGUUCUCCAGCAGGCUGACGGCGCCACCACCAGGCUGCAGGAGGAACAGCAGGAGAACCCCAUCAGAACUGACCUCGGUUUAUUUCCAUGUGGUCUAACUGAGCUGCUGCUUCAGUCUGGUACCAGUAAGUAGCUCUUGUAGCUCUCGCUGGACUCCUCGGCUCCGAUCACUUCAGCCAGAGCGUCGUACAGCUGGUCCAGAGGUUCACAGCUUGCUGCCUCCUGCUGCAGACACACAAACACACAACAAGGUCACACAAUAACAUAAACACAGAACAAUGGAGGUUUCAUCUGUUACUGUAGUGAUGUUCAGAGAAACAAACUCGACUGGCAUCAGCUGGUUUCUGUUUAUGGUCAGUUUGGAUCUUUAAGGAUCAUUUCAUGUUCUUUGUGGUUGUUUUGUCAAUGUUUUGUGUAUUUUGUGGUCAGUUCUCAUCUCUUUGUGGCCAUUUUUAAUCUUUUUGGAAUAAUUGUGUCUCCUUGCUGUCAUUUCGUCUCUUUGCCAUCGUUUCUUGUCUCUUCAUAAAUGUUUAGUGUCUCUUUGCAGCCAUUAUGUCUCUUUGUGGUCAUUUUGUGUCACUUUCCGGUAAUUUUGUGUCUCCUUGCUGUCAUUUGGUGUCUCUUUGUUGUUGUUUUUGUCUCUCUGUGGUCAUUUUAUGUCUCUUUCCAGUCGUUUUGUGUUUCUUUGUAGUUGUUUCUGUGUAUUUGUUGUCAUUUUGUGAUAAUUUUGUCUCUUUCCAAUUGUUUUUCUCUUCAUCUUCCAUUAAUCAGUGUUUGAUGGAAAGUUUCUUGAAAUGUUUGAACUGAUCAACCUUCAUGUCUUAAAGUGAUGUUGGAUUCUUGUUUCUGUUUGUUCAGCUGAGCUCCUCGUACAAUAAUACGUUUACUAUUUAUCUUCACUACAUUGACAAAAGUCUCAUUCAGAAAGGUUCUUUGGUUAUUUGAAGGAAGAUAAACUGUAGAUUAAACUUUCUUUUUCACUAAAUAGUUUCUUUGAAGCUUCAAAGACAGUUGUUUUAAAAAGUUAGGACUAAAGCUCCUUGUGAAAGAAGUUGUUCCUGAAACUGUAAAUGUGAAUGUUGCUGACAGAAAACCGACCAGUUUGAUGAGCUCCGACAGAAACAGUCUCCUGAAUCUGACCGAUGGAGGAAACUUCCGACACAGAGGGUGAAGACACGUCUGUAGAAUUCAAUAGAAAACAACAUUACUGUUCAUUCCACUCAUAUAUUCUGAUAUUUACAUUUACAACCUGAUGAAAUGAGAGUUUGUUUACCUGCUUCAGGAUGUCUGAAAUAAACUCUGAUGACUUGUU